CUUUAAUUUCCUUAUUAUGGAUUUGGGAUUCUCUGCAACUCUUAACCCAAAACUGAGAAAAAACAAUUGUUUUCUUUUGCUUUUAAAAACACUUCAUUUCGUGUUUUGGCCAUUGCCUGCCUGCCUCCUCUCAAAACUCAAAAGCCAGCCCUGUCCUUUCUUUUCUGUUCCUCUUUUUUAGGGUUUCUACUUGUUAAGAAGAGAAGCCUUGGGAAAAGUGGCAUUGUUUUUUUUCAACAAAUGGCUUUCUCUUCUCUCCUUAGAUCUAUGCCCACCGUUUCUCUUUCACGCGCCGCUGACUUCUCUUCUUCCUCCUCCGAUCGUCUCAAGGUCCGAUUUUCGUCCUCUGUUUUUGCCUUCGAUUUUUAGAAGCUCCGUUUGGUUGUUGUUGACUGAACUGAGCUUGGAAUCUCAGUUGCCAACAGUAUUCAACCCAUCAAAGCCACUGCUACAGAGUUGCCACCCAUAGUUCAAAAAACACGGAGCAGUGGGAGCACAAAGAUUGGAAUCAAUGGUUUUUGGACUCUGAUACAACACGUGAAAUGAGGGUUUAUAAUAAGAGGCAUGGGAAGAAGCACCAGGGAAUCAAUUGUGAUAAAGGGAGCAGCUCAAGUGUGAAGAGAAGCAAAAAGGUAGAAUAAACAGGUGGCGACAGAUAAGUGGCUGAGAAUGGAAUUCUGUUAGGGAAGGAAGUGAAUAAAAGGGAGCAGUAGAGGUUCAAAAGGCAUCAAGGGAGAAUAGAGUAAAAGGGGAGGUAGCUGGCCCUCGAAGUCCAGCGUAGCAGUUCCAUUUAUUUUCUUUGUUGUUUGUUAAUUGAAUUCUGGUGUUGAGAAGUGUCCAUACAUGAAUGUAAAUCUGACUUUACCAGGAAAUACAUACUUGAAGUUCUGAA